CCCCCCCCCCCCGCGGGGCCUGACAGAACCGCUCUGCGGGGCCGUGCAGCGCUCACCGAGCGGCCGGAGCAUGGGGCCCCACGGGCUGCGGAGCCGGCACUGCCCGCUACGACCGUGUCCUGGGCGGCCGCUUACGGCUGUGAACCGGGAGAGUGCACCCGAGCCAGGUACAACCAUUUGUCCUUCGCUGCUGCUUCUAUCUGUCAGUUCCUGCUGUGAGUUUCCCUCCUGUGUCAGAACCACGUUCACCAAGGGCUGCCUGGGUCACCCUGUUUGCACUGAGCUUUUUUCAUGUUUCAAGAUAACCCAAGAAAUGACAUGACCAAACAUACCUGUGGCAUUCAUGUUGCAUCAUCUUGAGAUGAUUUCAGACAUGACACCUGGCUUUAUGUUGCUAAAAUUCUACAUUAUCGUGAAACCUUCAGGCUGAUGUUUUUGUAUUGAACUGAAACACUGUAACAGAACAUUAAUAUAUUCAGCAAAAAAAAGAUAAUUCCUUUAAAAACUGAUGCACUGUUUCAAAGAACAACACCUUUUAAUUGCUAGCACAUCAUAAAUAAAUGUUUAUGGUGAUAGAUGAAAUGAUGAGAUUGCAAAUAUGCUGUCAAAAGACCAAGGCAUCAAUGCUCUGUGCAGUGUUGUGCUUAUGACCUGAAUUUUUUAAGAUUUGAGACCCACCUCAUGUCCAAGAAUAUGACUGUUAAUUAAUAUCUGGAUGAUCCAAGGAAAAUAUUUGAUUUACAAUAAAAGAAAGCUGCCACUGAUGUGAAUGACAGUAUUGUGAUUUUGGGGCUGGC
rnacentral:lncRNA from 12 species